CCUACGGGAGGCAGCAGUGGGGAAUAUUGCACAAUGGGCGAAAGCCUGAUGCAGCGACGCCGCGUGAGGGAUGACGGCCUUCGGGUUGUAAACCUCUUUCAGUAGGGAAGAAGCGAAAGUGACGGUACCUGCAGAAGAAGCGCCG
rnacentral:rRNA from 1 species